rnacentral:rRNA from 1 species
AUUGAACGCUGGCGGCAGGCCUAACACAUGCAAGUCGAGCGGAUGAAGGGAACUUGCUCCUGGAUUCAGCGGCGGACGGGUGAGUAAUGCCUAGGAAUCUGCCUGGUAGUGGGGGAUAACGUCCGGAAACGGGCGCUAAUACCGCAUACGUCCUGAGGGAGAAAGUGGGGGAUCUUCGGACAUCACGCUAUCAGAUGAGCCUAGGUCGGAUUAGCUAGUUGGUGGGGUAAAGGCCUACCAAGGCGACGAUCCGUAACUGGUCUGAGAGGAUGAUCAGUCACACUGGAACUGAGACACGGUCCAGGCUCCUACGGGAGGCAGCAGUGGGGAAUAUUGGACAAUGGGCGAAAGCCUGAUCCAGCCAUGCCGCGUGUGUGAAGAAGGUCUUCGGAUUGUAAAGCACUUUAAGUUGGGAGGAAGGGCAGUAAGUUAAUACCUUGCUGUUUUGACGUUACCAACAGAAUAAGCACCGGCUAACUUCGUG